GGACAAUGGUGUGUGUGUGAGUAGACUGUGUGUGUGUGUGUGUGAGGAGUGUGUGUGUGUGUGUGUGUGCAUGUGUCUCUGGGUGGACAAUGGUGUGUGUGUGAGUAGACUGUGUGUCAGGCAUAUUGUGACAUGAAGAGUCCCGGAGUCCUGCUGAAGAGAAGUGUGUGUGAAAACUCAGACUUUAAUCUGAAGAGAAGAGAAAGAAGUGUGUGUGAAAACUCAGACUUUAAUCUGAAGAGAAUCUGAAGAGAAGUGUGUGUGAAAACUCAGACUUUAAUCUGAAGAGAAUCUGAAGAGAAGUGUGUGUGAAAACUCAGACUUUAAUCUGAAAAGAAGUGUGUGUGAAAACUCAGACUUUAAUCUGAAGAGAAGUGUGUGUGAAAACUCAGACUUUAAUCUGAAGAGAAGUGUGUGUGAAAACUGUUUUUCAGACUUUAAUCACCACUUGGACACAAGAAUGGAAAACUGAACAAACACCAAGGACUCUCUCUCUCUCUCUCGUUCUCUCUCUCUCUCUCUCUCUCUGUAGACAGAGUGGCACCAUGGCUGUUUGUUGUUGAAGUGUAUGCACACACACACACACACACAGGUAUGCACAUGCACACACACAAGGGCACACACACUGUGUGUGUAUGGAGAUGUAGUCUUGAGAUUCUAGGAGUGUUUCAAUGUUAGGUGAGUGUGUGCGUGUGUGAGUGAGAGAGUGUGUGUGUGAGAGAGAGAUAGAUAGAGAGAGAGUGAGUGAUUGUUUCAAUGUUAGGUGAGUGAGUGUGUGUGUAUGUGAGUGUGUGUGUGUACGUGGAGGUACCUCGAGCUUCCUGGAGUGUUGCAGUGUUAGGUGAGUGUGUGUUGUGCCUCCAGGACUGUCAGAGAAAGAGUGUGGAAAGUGUGUGUGUGUGUGUUUAGCAGCCAGGGUGUCUGAUGUUCCUUAACUGUGAAAAUAAUAAAAGACUGCUGUUGAGCGCACACACACACACAUACACACACACACACACAUCAGACUGACUGGCUUUAGGGGAGGGGCUACUCAAACCACUAACAAAAACCAUAUGGAGACUGUUCUACACACACACACACUACCCUGCUCACACACACACACGGCCAUACACAGAGCCACACACACACACACUCGACUAAACACACAGGCUCUUCUUAACAUACCUCCCUCUGUUCCCAACUUCACUCCUCCACCACACACACACACACACCGUGUAUCUUCUCCUCUGCUCUGUAGACGGACAGCAUUGUCUGUUCAUGAUGUAACAUUUGUAUUGUAUGAUAAAAUAACAUGUUUAAUGAA